rnacentral:rRNA from 1 species
GGAUUGAGACCCGGCCCAGAUUCCUACGGGAGGCAGCAGUAGGGAAUCUUCCGCAAUGGACGAAAGUCUGACGGAGCAACGCCGCCUGAGUGAUGAAGGUUUUCGGAUCGUAAAGCUCUGUUGUUAGGGAAGAACAAGUGCGAGAGUAACUGCUCGCACCUUGACGGUACCUAACCAGAAAGCCACGGCUAACUACGUGCCAGCAGCCGCGGUAAUACGUAGGUGGCAAGCGUUGUCCGGAAUUAUUGGGCGUAAAGGGCUCGCAGGCGGUUUCUUAAGUCUGAUGUGAAAGCCCCCGGCUCAACCGGGGAGGGUCAUUGGAAACUGGGAAACUUGAGUGCAGAAGAGGAGAGUGGAAUUCCACGUGUAGCGGUGAAAUGCGUAGAGAUGUGGAGGAACACCAGUGGCGAAGGCGACUCUCUGGUCUGUAACUGACGCUGAGGAGCGAAAGCGUGGGGAGCGAACAGGAUUAGAUACCCUGGUAGUCCACGCCGUAAACGAUGAGUGCUAAGUGUUAGGGGGUUUCCGCCCCUUAGUGCUGCAGCUAACGCAUUAAGCACUCCGCCUGGGGAGUACGGUCGCAAGACUGAAACUCAAAGGAAUUGACGGGGGCCCGCACAAGCGGUGGAGCAUGUGGUUUAAUUCGAAGCAACGCGAAGAACCUUACCAGGUCUUGACAUCCUCUGACAACCCUAGAGAUAGGGCUUUCCCUUCGGGGACAGAGUGACAGGUGGUGCAUGGUUGUCGUCAGCUCGUGUCGUGAGAUGUUGGGUUAAGUCCCGCAACGAGCGCAACCCUUGAUCUUAGUUGCCAGCAUUCAGUUGGGCACUCUAAGGUGACUGCCGGUGACAAACCGGAGGAAGGUGGGGAUGACGUCAAAUCAUCAUGCCCCUUAUGACCUGGGCUACACACGUGCUACAAUGGACAGAACAAAGGGCUGCAAGACCGCAAGGUUUAGCCAAUCCCAUAAAUCUGUUCUCAGUUCGGAUCGCAGUCUGCAACUCGACUGCGUGAAGCGGAAUCGCUGUAAUCGCGGAG